GCCGCCGGUCCGAGUGUCAGGUGAACUGAACUUCAGGCUCCAUGUGUCAGGCCGAUGUGGAGUCAGCUCGAGUUGGGACUGCGGGACCCUGAGCCUCUUUUCCCUUCGCAUUUGUUCCAGUACCCAUCAUGCCGCUGCCUCUGGCUAUUCCCCAGCUGAUCGGUGGCGUACUGUGGCCAAAGCCACCUUACCUAACCUCGCACCAACCACUCCUGCUAGCUGGCUGGCUGCUGCUAUCUGCACUAUACAGCACAGUGGCAAAGUACAAUGGCAGCCCGCUGCACUCCUAGGUCCAUCCGUCUGUCUGUCUGCCCGCCAGGAAAAUCAGUCCCUUUGCUUCACUACACAGGGGAUACAAUCACUCAAUGAUUGUAUGAUGCAUUCCUCCGUGCUGCACCGAUGAAUGAUGCGUGCUGCUUGGAUAACUCUCAAAGAGAUAACUGUGCUGCAGAGAUAAAGAUAAAGUUGUGCUUAAAUCUCCCAACUUCUGCAACCACAUGCAGCCCUUCUGGCCUCGCAUCAAAACCAAUAUUCCUUUGUUUGUCUUCUCAAGCCAGCGUCCCUAGCGGCUUUCCUUUUACACUCAAGGAAAAAAUGAUCUCUCUGUCUUUUAAAGAAUAAGGUAAUAAACAUUCAAGCAAAUCAGAGACAAGCGCAGUGCUUUUUUGUUGUUGCUGUCUCAAGCAAUUUGAGAAUGCUGGUUAAUAGUUUAAGCAUACCAUCGAUUCUUAGUUUGAUUAAAUUAUGGCCAAUCAUCCUAAAUGCAAGUCUGAAGAGCACCAAGGGCAAAGCCAUUUUCAUGUAAGUCAAUUGGUUGCUUUGUGAGAGACAUGUUUAUGUCAGUUUAUUCAGUAAACCAAUAAAGUGACUUCUAUUCUAUUUCUAACAAAUGGAACAACACAAAAUCUGUUGUGGGCUUCUCUUUUCCCCUUCACAGUGGGGUAAGGCUGAUUAGGGGUAUUUGUUCUUGAAGAUAUUAAUAUUUUUAGAGUGGAAACGCCGCAAAAAAAUAUCCAAUAUCUUUGAAUCUGAGAUUUCUUCACAAAAACAGAACAUGCCUGAAUGUAGAACGGGGGACAUUUGAAGACUGAAAGUCUCUUUGCCAGACGUGGUAAAUCUCAGAGCAGCAGAGGAUGAAGCUGACUGCUGUGAAAUAUCUCUGCCGUGCUCGAGCACAAAGGUUUUGCUGUUACUUAAGAAUGUUUUCUUUUUCUAAUACUGAUCUUUUUUCUUUUCAUGUCCACUUUUUAAUUUAUAUCAAUGCCAAAAAAAACCAACAAAAACCGCCCUACAUGGGUUGACUGUUUCUCUGAAGACUUUACACUUUAGAAUUCCAGAUUAGAACAGACUCUACAUAAAAGACAGACAGACAUAGCCACCUUGAUAUUACCCACUUGUAAGCAAGGUCCUAUUGUGAUGGUUCAACUUGAGCAUUUUCUUGGUCCUUUGAAACCAGGGGUGGAUCUGAAAUUGAGGAACACUGCAUGUUCAUAGACUAGUGACUUGUAACAGUUAAUACUAAUGCGAGCCACAGCUUACACAAUGAACAGUAAGAUUGUUCAUUUUGUGCACAUAGGCGCUCGGCAACUUUGUUUUUAUAUUGAAAUAUAAUCAGAAUAUAACCCACUGGUAACCAGUUGAAUCAAUGUGUAUAUAGCAGGCUAGUUGCACUCAGACUGACUCUAACCCAUUUAGAGUGUUGGCAAUCUGUCUGCAUUUAUAAUUUAAACAACAAUUAUUUGCAAAUCUGAAAGUGACUGCAGACAGUCCAAGUGUGAAUGUUUAGAGACAGGUUGCCUCUCAUCAGGCUACCUGUGCAAAUGCCUUACAGUUUGAUUUUUUGGGCAAUCCUUCGAUGACCAAAAAUUCAAUGCAAUCACUGGGCAACCACUGAUUUUUUUUCCCUUUUUUCCCCCCUUCUCUAGUCACAUGGAGGAUGCUAUUUUCAGUCUUGUGUAAGUGAGCCAUUAGUUUGCUCAGACAGGCCACAAAGGGAAGCUUAGCUACUAUCCCAACAGAUCAGCUGGCCCACAUCAAUUUAUGGCUGAGCUGAUACCCUUUUAUGUUUCCAUAUUAGCAGAUCGCAUAUAAGGCAGGUUAUUUGAUUAUAGCCUGUCUACAGCUGGGCAUCUGAAAAUUGCUUUGCAACCCAGCACCGCUCCAGCUCUACAUUUUCAUGCUUUGUGCAAAUAAUUCAAUGUAAUGGCAGUUGUCAUUAUUGGCUACUCUGUUAUCUAUGGGGGUCUGCUAUCCCUGGGUAGCAGUAUUUUUUUUCUCUGUAAA